ACGGGUACGGGGUGUUAGGGCACGACACCGGAGAGGGAGCCUGAGAAACGGCUACCACAUCCAGGAAGGCAGCAGGCGCGCAAAUUACCCAAUCCCGACAUGGGGAGGUAGUGACAAUAAAUAACAAUACAGGGUUCUUUUGGAUCUUGUAAUUGGAAUGAGUACAAUUUAAAUCUCUUAACGAGGAACAAUUGGAGGGCAAGUCUGGUGCCAGCAGCCGCGGUAAUUCCAGCUCCAAUAGCGUAUAUUAAAGUUGUUGCAGUUAAAAAGCUCGUAGUUGAAUUUCGGGAUCAAGGRAUYGGUCAUGCCUYGGUAUGUACUGGUYUUWUUGGUUCUCACCUUCUAAAGAACCAUNAUGUCAUUNAUUUGAUGUUAUGGGGAAUUAGGACUGUUACCUUGAAAAAAUUAGAGUGUUUAAAGCAAGCUUACGCUUGAAUACAUUAGCAUGGAAUAAUGAAAUAGGACAUCAGAUUCUAUUUUGUUGGUUUCUAGGAUCGAUGUAAUGAUUAAUAGGGAUAGUUGGGGGCAUUAGUAUUCAAUUGUCAGAGGUGAAAUUCUUGGAUUUAUUGAAGACUAACUACUGCGAAAGCAUUUGCCAAGGAUGUUUUCAUUAAUCAAGAACGAAAGUUAGGGGAUCGAAGACGAUCAGAUACCGUCGUAGUCUUAACCAUAAACUAUGCCGACUAGGGAUCGGAUGAUGUUAAUUUUUUAAUGACUCAUUCGGCACCUUACGGGAAACCAAAUGUUUUNGGGNUU
rnacentral:rRNA from 1 species